AUUGAACGCUGGCGGCAGGCUUAACACAUGCAAGUCGAGCGGGGUGAUGGUGCUUGCACUAUCACUUAGCGGCGGACGGGUGAGUAAUGCUUAGGAAUCUGCCUAUUAGUGGGGGGCAACAUCUCGAAAGGGAUGCCAAUACUGCAUACGUCCUACGGGGGAAAGCAGGGGAUCACGUGUGACCUUGCGCUAAUAGAUGAGCCUAAGUCGGAUUAGCUAGUUGGUGGGGUAAAGGCCUACCAAGGCGACGAUCUGUAGCGGGUCUGAGAGGAUGAUCCGCCACACUGGGACUGAGACACGGCCCAGACUCCUACGGGAGGCAGCAGUGGGGAAUAUUGGACAAUGGGGGGAACCCUGAUCCAGCCAUGCCGCGUGUGUGAAGAAGGCCUUAUGGUUGUAAAGCACUUUAAGCGAGGAGGAGGCUCUUUUGGUUAAUACCCAGAAUGAGUGGACGUUACUCGCAGAAUAAGCACCGGCUAACUCUGUGCCAGCAGCCGCCGCAGUAU
rnacentral:rRNA from 1 species